UAGGGAAUCUUCGGCAAUGGGGGCAACCCUGACCGAGCAACGCCGCGUGAGUGAAGAAGGUUUUCGGAUCGUAAAGCUCUGUUGUAAGGGAAGAACGAGUGUGAGAGUGGAAAGUUCACACUGUGACGGUAACUUACCAGAAAGGGACGGCUAACUACGUGCCAGCAGCCGCGGUAAUACGUAGGUCCCGAGCGUUAUCCGGAUUUAUUGGGCGUAAAGCGAGCGCAGGCGGUUAGAUAAGUCUGAAGUUAAAGGCUGUGGCUUAACCAUAGUACGCUUUGGAAACUGUUUAACUUGAGUGCAGAAGGGGAGAGUGGAAUUCCAUGUGUAGCGGUGAAAUGCGUAGAUAUAUGGAGGAACACCGGUGGCGAAAGCGGCUCUCUGGUCUGUAACUGACGCUGAGGCUCGAAAGCGUGGGGAGCAAACAGGAUUAGAUACCCUGGUAGUCCACGCCGUAACGAUGAGUGCUAGGUGUUGGGUCCUUUCCGGGACUCAGUGCCGCAGCUAACGCAUUAAGCACUCCGCCUGGGGGAGUACGACCGCAAGGUU
rnacentral:rRNA from 1 species